CACUCCUGCGGGAGGCAGCAGUGGGGAAUAUUGCACAAUGGGCGCAAGCCUGAUGCAGCCAUGCCGCGUGUAUGAAGAAGGCCUUCGGGUUGUAAAGUACUUUCAGCGGGGAGGAAGGCGAUAAGGUUAAUAACCUUGUUGAUUGACGUUACCCGCAGAAGAAGCACCGGCUAACUCCGUGCCAGCAGCCGCGGUAAUACGGAGGGUGCAAGCGUUAAUCGGAAUUACUGGGCGUAAAGCGCACGCAGGCGGUCUGUCAAGUCGGAUGUGAAAUCCCCGGGCUCAACCUGGGAACUGCAUUCGAAACUGGCAGGCUAGAGUCUUGUAGAGGGGGGUAGAAUUCCAGGUGUAGCGGUGAAAUGCGUAGAGAUCUGGAGGAAUACCGGUGGCGAAGGCGGCCCCCUGGACAAAGACUGACGCUCAGGUGCGAAAGCGUGGGGAGCAAACAGGAUUAGAAACCCUUGUAGUCC
rnacentral:rRNA from 1 species